GAUGAACGCUGACAGAAUGCUUAACACAUGCAAGUCAACUUGAACUUCGGUUUGGGUGGCGGACGGGUGAGUAACGCGUAAAGAACUUGCCUCACAGUUAGGGACAACAUUUGGAAACGAAUGCUAAUACCUGAUAUUAUGAUUUUAGGGCAUCCUAGAAUUAUGAAAGCUAUAUGCGCUGUGAGAGAGCUUUGCGUCCCAUUAGCUAGUUGGAGAGGUAACGGCUCACCAAGGCGAUGAUGGGUAGCCGGCCUGAGAGGGUGAACGGCCACAAGGGGACUGAGACACGGCCCUUACUCCUACGGGAGGCAACAGUGGGGAAUAUUGGACAAUGGACCAAGAGUCUGAUCCAGCAAUUCUGUGUGCACGAUGAAGUUUUUCGGAAUGUAAAGUGCUUUCAGUUGGGAAGAAAAAAAUGACGGUACCAACAGAAGAAGUGACGGCUAAAUACGUG
rnacentral:rRNA from 1 species